GUAUUUCCGCCGGCGCGAAACGAGCGUAGCUUCCUUGUCGUGUGGCCUCAGUCCUUCGCCGUCCCUCGCCGUCCUUCGCCAUCGCACGCCACCGCACCCCAUCUCUCGAAAUCUGCAGACAUCUUGAUUUUUCCCACGCUGUCUGUCAGGUCUCCGCCGCCACUCGACGCCAGGGCGCCGGGCCUUGUGGGCUGUGCUGCACCUCGGACGGCUUCGCACCAGCCAGCGCCCUCUCUCUCCUGCAGCACUCUGAUCUGCACCCCCUGAGGGGCUUCCACUGUCCGCGGGGUGAGAAUGCCCCUGGGAGUGUCACAUGACUGCCGCCCCAUGUGUGUGAGAGGCGUCCUCUGGGAGAGCAUGGAUCCUGAGGUCCCAGGAACAUCCCGAGAGCCAAGUUCCCAGAUGCCAGCCAAGGGCCAUCUGACCUGUUUUGAAUCUCAAUUUCCUGAUACAGAAAACAAAGGAUUGUCAGCUGACCUCUGUCCUGUGUGCCCAGUGGCCCCAGGUGACGUGUCUUCAAGAAGAGGCUGAGCUGCGGUGCUUGUAAGAUGGGUCUGCUGUGUGCAGAGGCUCCAUGGGAUGUGUUGUCUUCAUAGUAGCAGGGCGCUGGACCAUGGGUCCGCAAGGUCUCAGCCUUAGAUCCAAGGACAGUCCAAGGAAGUCCUAAGACCAUGGAGUUGGUGAUCUGGGAUCUGGGUUUGCUGAUAUUUCUCACCGUGAAUCUCUUGGUGGUGUUUGUGGGCACGAGAGGGGCAGAGAAUGGAGAGUGAGGCUACCACAUGAAGCGUCACCAGAGCUGCUCCCUGCUGCCUGCUCAGAGCACCCCGGAUCCACUGUUCAAUCUGCACAAGAUUCGGGGUCCAGACAUGGGAGACUUCAGCUGCCUCAGAGGACCGUGGACAGGGAAGGCCAGCCUCGCAUCCCUCUGUCCAUGCCUGGAAUGACUUUAAUAACCAAGAGUUUUAUUUUUGAAUUUGUAGCUGUCGUUCACUUUUUACCCACCCAUUCAAUAAACCUUACAGAAUUGCUC
rnacentral:lncRNA from 1 species